UGUGUGUCCCUCAGUCAGCCUCCCUGCUCCAGUCCACUUCAGCUGCCAGCCCAGACCCUUCUCCUGUUCCAGCCCAGACCAUUUUCUUGCUCCAGCCCAGAACAUUCUCCUGCUCCAGCCGAGAUCCUUCUCCUGCUCCAGCUCAGAACAUUCUCCUGCUCCAGCCAAGACCCAUUCUCCUGCUCCAGCCCAGAACAUUCUCCAGCUCCAGCCCAGAAGAUUCUGCACUCCACCAUGAGCUCCUACCGCUCUUCUGCUCAGUCAGCCCAGUCUGGCUCCUCCUCCUACCGCCGCACCUUUGGCGCAGGAUACAGCCCUGCCAUGUCCCAUUCCCUCUACAGCAGCCGGGGCUCGGGUGGGGGGCUCGGACAUGGUGGCUCCGGCCACAUCUCCUCCCGGGUCUAUGAAGUCACAAGACCUCCGCCUCGCCCUCUUACUCCGGCUACCGCACCUCGUCUCACUUUGGCGGACCUGUGAUGUCAUCGACCGCCCACGGUUCGCGGUCCUACGCGGGGAUGGGGGAGACGCUGGACUUCAGCCUGGCCGACGCGCUGAACCAGGAGUUCCUCCACACGCGGACCAACGAGAAGGUCGAGCUGCAGCACCUGAACGACCGCUUCGCCAGCUACAUCGAGAAAGUUCGCUUCCUGGAGCAGCAGAAUGCUACAUUGGUGGUGGAGAUUGAGAGGCUGCGGGGGCGUGAACCCACACGCAUCGCCGACCUGUACGAAGAGGAGAUGAGGGACCUGCGUCGCCAGGUGGAGGCCUUGACCAAUCAGAGGAGCCGCGUCGAGGUGGAGAGGGACAACCUGGGCGAAGACUUUGACAAACUCAAACUCAGACUGCAGGAAGAGAUCCUUCAGAGGGAGGACGCAGAGAACAACCUGGCUGCUUUCAGAGCUGAUGUUGAUGCUGCCACUCUGGCCCGUCUAGACUUGGAGAGACGCAUCGAGACGCUACAGGAGGAGAUCGCCUUCCUCAAGAAGAUUCACGAGGAGGAGAUCCGUGAGAUGCAGUCCCAGAUGCAGGAGACCCAGGUGCAGAUCCAGAUGGACAUGUCCAAGCCGGACCUGACAGCUGCCCUCAGGGACAUCAGGGCCCAGUACGAGGGCAUCGCCGCCAAGAACAUCUCAGAGGCCGAGGAGUGGUACAAGUCUAAGGUGACAGACCUGAACCAGGCGGUGAACAAGAACAAUGAGGCUCUGAAGGAGGCCAAGAUGGAGACCAUGGAGUUCAGACACCAGCUCCAGUCCUACACCUGUGAGAUUGACUCACUUAAAGGCACCAACGAGUCUCUGAUGAGGCAGAUGAGAGAGAUGGAGGAGCGCCACGGGCGGGAGGCCGGCGGGUUCCAGGACACCAUCUCCCGUCUGGAGGCUGAGAUCGCCAACAUGAAGGAUGAGAUGGCCAGGCACCUGAGAGAGUACCAGGACCUGCUCAAUGUCAAGAUGGCCCUGGACGUAGAGAUAGCAACCUACAGGAAACUGCUGGAGGGAGAGGAGAGCAGGAUUUCCCUGCCCAUACAGAACUAUUCCACCAUGACUUUCCGUGAAACGAGUCCAGAGCAUCAUCACCGCGUUGCUGAGUCACACUCAAAGAAAAGUGUCCUUAUCAAGACCAUCGAGACCCGUGACGGAGAGGUGGUCUCUGAGUCAACACAGCACCAGCAGGAUAUCAUGUAACAGACAAACAGAAGAGAAGAUGAAGACAAAAAGACUAAAUAAAAACGAAAAGGACUUUAUCAACUCACCCUGGUGACCCUUUAGUUGUUCUUAUUUGAAAGACUCAAAGGUCACUCGCUCCAAUGAAAUAGUCAAAAGGCUGGGUGACUUCAAGUACGAGCCGACCUGUUUGUAAUUUCCUACUACAGCUAUGUGCACCGUUUGCCUUUAUUUAUGACUAUAUAUAUGAUACUGUACGUUCUAUCACAAGGCUGACGUUAGUAUGAGGAGGGUUCUCAAUGGACAGAGACAGAGGAGAGGGGUGAGAAGGGAGAGAUGUGUCUAGGGAAAAGGAGACAGGGGGGGGUGAAACAGGUGAGAAGGGGAGACAAAAGGAAAGAUGGAAAAGGGGGAACAUGGAAUGAGAGUGAGGCUGACAAUCGCUUAUGCUGUUCUGAAUGGUGGGCCUAUAGGUUGGUUAACAAACACAACAAACAGGGACACACGGUCACCAGCCUGCCAGUCUCUGUACCAGUCUAUCAUGUUCUCAGUGUGGGUGUGGGUGUGUGCGUGCGUUUUGAAUUAACAACCAAAGACAUUGAAGAAUCACUUUGUUUAUCAUAUACAGGCCCAUAAAAACACAUGCUUUAAUAAUAAUAAUAAUAAUAAUAGUAUUAAUAAUGAUAUUUGUAAUAAGAAGCAUGGAAUAUCACUGGCCUACAUUUAUGAGGCUGCACUCUUGAAGUCAAAAGAUGUCAAUAACAUAAUGUCAAUAAAUUACCUGAUAAAUAAAUCUA